AAUUUAGUAGGUUAAAGUAAACCGUUGAAUUGUGGUUUCAAUAUUACCUUUAUGGUCUAAGUUC
rnacentral:tRNA from 1 species